rnacentral:rRNA from 1 species
CUACGGGAUGCUGCAGUAGGGAAUAUUGGACAAUGGGCGAAAGCCUGAUCCAGCAACACCGCGUGCACGAUGACGGCCUUCGGGUUGUAAAGUGCUUUUAGAGGAGAUGAGAAAGGACAGUAUCCUCUGAAUAAGCCUCGGCGAACUACGUGCCAGCAGCCGCGGUAAAACGUAGGAGGCAAGCGUUAUCCGGAUUAUUGGGCGGUAAAGCGCGUGCAGGCGGUCUAGCAAGUUGGAUGUGAAAGCUCCCGGCUCAACUGGGAGAGGUCGUUCAAUACUGUUAGACUAGAGAAUAGGAGAGGGAGGUGGAAUUCCGGGUGUAGUGGUGAAAUGCGUAGAUAUCCGGAGGAACACCAGUGGCGAAAGCGGCCUCCUGGACUAUUUCUGACGCUAAGACGCGAAAGCUAGGGUAGCAAACGGGAUUAGAUACCCCCGUAGUC